rnacentral:rRNA from 1 species
UGGGGAAUUUUGGACAAUGGGCGCAAGCCUGAUCCAGCCAUGCCGCGUGCAGGAUGAAGGCCCUCGGGUUGUAAACUGCUUUUGUACGGAACGAAAAGCCUCUUUCUAAUAAAGAGGGGUGAUGACGGUACCGUAAGAAUAAGCACCGGCUAACUACGUGCCAACAGCCGCGGUAAUACGUAGGGUGCGAGCGUUAAUCGGAAUUACUGGGCGUAAAGCGUGCGCAGGCGGUCUUGCAAGACAGUGGUGAAAUCCCCGGGCUCAACCUGGGAACUGCCAUUGUGACUGCAAGGCUGGAGUACGGCAGAGGGGGAUGGAAUUCCGCGUGUAGCAGUGAAAUGCGUAGAUAUGCGGAGGAACACCGAUGGCGAAGGCAGUCCCCUGGGCCUGUACUGACGCUCAUGCACGAAAGCGUGGGGAGCAAACA